GACGAACCGUGCGAACGUUGUUCGGAAUCACUGGGCUUAAAGGGCGCGUAGGCGGCUCGCGAGGUCGGGGGUGAAAUCCCACGGCUUAACCGUGGAAGGGCCUUCGAUACCGGCGGGCUGGAGGAAGGUAGGGGUGCGCGGAACUUCUGGUGGAGCGGUGAAAUGCGUUGAUAUCAGAAGGAACGCCGGCGGCGAAAGCGGCGCACUGGACCUUUUCUGACGCUGAGGCGCGAAAGCCAGGGGAGCAAACGGGG
rnacentral:rRNA from 1 species